UACGUAGGGUGCGAGCGUUGUCCGGAAUUAUUGGGCGUAAAGAGCUUGUAGGCGGUUUGUCGCGUCUGCUGUGAAAAUCCGGGGCUCAACCCCGGACUUGCAGUGGGUACGGGCAGACUAGAGUGUGGUAGGGGAGACUGGAAUUCUCGGUGUAGCAGUGAAAUGCGUAGAUAUCGAGAGGAACACCAGUGGCGAAGGCGAGUCCCUGGACGACUCCUGACACUGAGGCACGAAAGCUAGGGGAGCAAACAGG
rnacentral:rRNA from 1 species